AUGGAGCGUGAGCAGCCACGGGUGCAAGAAGAUGACAACGAAAGCAGCUCCCGGCGCCAACUUCGCUGCCACGUUGAGUCUACAGGCUGACGGCGGAUACGACGUUCACCGAGCGGGUCGCAAAGCGAGUCAGGAUGGACGAGUGUCAAAAUGACAUUCCAAUGUGGCUGACAAGCACGGGACCCAGAGCUAUUCGAGCGCCAUAUUGGAACGAUGUGGCUAUUUAAGACCUGUAGCUUAAGGUCUGAGUUCAGUCUACGCUGAAAUUUUGGAAGAAAUAGUGCAAGUGUUAUAGUGUUUCGUGGUGGUUAGAAAAAGCUAAGUAUAUUAACUAUUUGGUUACUUUAAUAUUAGAAUGUUAGUAUGAUUAUCUGCAAAUAUUUUGAGACAUUAACCAUAUUGUGAUAAUUUCCUAAAUCUGCUUAAACUUUGAUUUGUUAUAGUUUGAGGUUUUAUCCACAUUGUGUAAAUUGGUUAUUGUUGGUUAAAAUGAUUUUCUCUGGAUUUCCAUCGGAAAUAAUUGUGUGAUUAAAAUGAAUUUAAAAUAACGUAAUUUUCCUAGUUCUGUAAAACUAAUAAGUUUGUCCCGCCAUUUUUUAUUAUUGGUGGAAUAAGAUUACAAAGGCGGUAGUAAUAAACUUUGGUUAAUAAUGUUAAAAUAAAUACAGUUACAUAACCUAAAAUAAAAACACGUGUUAAUAAUUUAUUAACUUUGUUGAUUAUUUGAUUAUAUCAUAAGAGAUGGAGUCAGUUAACCUAAAAUAAAACCACGUGUUGAUAAUUUAUUGAUUAUUUGAUUAUAUCAUAAGAGAUGAAAUUACCUAACCUAAAUUAGCACACGUGGUGAUAGUGUACUUGCUUUGUUGAAUGUUCUGAUUAUAUUAGUGUUAUUAUAUGAAUUGCAUUUAUCUGUUGAAAUGAGAAUUUUGAAUAGAUGAAUUUAAUGAAGUGGAACAUAAAGGAAAAUAUGGGAGAAAUAUAUAAUUAAUUACUGGU